UUUCUCCCCUCUUUUCUGCGAUACCCUCCUUCUCACGACUGCCAUUCAACCGAUGAAGACACUUUCAUCUCUAUCCAUCUUCGUUGUCUCUGUUCGUCAUCACCCUCAUCACAUGAUUUCCCUAGAAUAUCCUAUUUUUCGGCUUCAAUCUCUCAGACUUGCAAUAUCCUGGCUUCAUCUAAUCUCUCAUCGUCGUCCACAUGGGUUUUGCUUAGGGUUCAUUGUCUACCAGCUCGUCUCUUUACUUGAAGCUUAUGAUUCGAGUUUUAAUCCCUCACAACAAAGGCUUCUCUUUCUAUUAUUAAAUCCUUCAUUUGCUCGAUGAAAUUGAAAUUAGAGAUUUGCAACUAUAGUCAUGGAACAUUGUACACUACAAGACUGCCUAUUAUUCAUUUUACCUCUCCCCAGGUCAUGGUGGUGUACAAUCCUCUUGGAUGGAUCCGUAACGAUGUUGUUAGAAUACUGCCUCCGCGGUCAGCACCAUCGUCAUCCCUCGUGCCUAGCUCAUGACUAGUCGUUGUCGAAUAUUCAAAGAGAAGAAACAGACUCCUAAAAAAAGCUUAUGAACUCUCUGUUCUAUGCGAUGCUUAAGUUGCUUUGAUCAUCUUCUCCACUCUAGGCAAGCUCUACGAAUUCGGCAGUGCUGGGUUUCAUUUUUUGGGCGAAAUUUGAUCUGUCUUCUUCUUCUUCAUCAUCUUUCAGACCUGAUCUGUGUAUAAAUAUCAAAACUUUAGGGUUUUUAGUUUCCGCCUCUUUAUCGUACCCCUUUUUUGUCUCGUUUUCUUUUCACCCUUUAAUCCUUUGGUAAUUAAUGAGAUCUCCAUUAUUAUAUAUAUUUAACUGAGUUUUGAUUUGUGUGUGUGUGUGUUAGUACUUCCAAAACAUUGGAGCGAUACCAACGUUGUUGCUUCUCUCCUCAACACAAUUUUGCUGAACGAGAAACCCAGAUAUUGCUUGGGUGCCAAACGUAUAUUCAAUAAACUCCAUGAAAAAGCUUUUGUUGUGGAGCUUGAUCUUCGAGGUAUUUAUUUUGUUUAGUUUUGUUGACUAUUUCCAAUAUUAAUAAUUGUUUGAAGAAGCAUUUUCGAGACCUUUAAAAUGUCGUGAUCUUUGAAUUUAUAUAAUUCUGUUUGGUUGCUAGUGGAAAGGGAAUCAUGAUCUUGAGGAGAUAAUUCUGAUUAUAUGAGCCAGUGUAUUGGGAGUGUGUGCGCAUGUGAAUGGGUGGUAACAUUUUGAAAAGUUGUGGUAUAAUUUGAGGUUCAUGUUUAGGGUGGUUGUGCAUUUUUUGCAAAUUAAAAAUGUCAUUUUCUUUGCUAAACAAGUUUGACAAGGUGUUUAGACCUUUUAUUUUCAGUUUCCCUAGAAAUUAGUCA